rnacentral:rRNA from 1 species
AUUGAACGCUGGCGGCAGGCUUAACACAUGCAAGUCGAGCGAGAGGCGGGAGGGUGAGUAAGGUCUGGGAAAGUGCCUGAUGGAGGGGGAUAACUACUGGAAACGGUAGCUACUACCGCCUACAAUCAGAUGUGCCCAGAUGGGAUGAGCUAGUGGGUGGGGUAAUGGCUCACCUAGGCGACGAUCCCUAGCUGGUCUGAGAGGAUGACCAGCCACACUGGAACUGAGACACGGUCCAGACUCCUACGGGAGGCAGCAGUGGGGAAUAUUGCACAAUGGGCGCAAGCCUGAUGCAGCCAUGCCGCGUGUGUGAAGAAGGCCUUCGGGUUGUAAAGCACUUUCAGCGAGGAGGCGUUACUCGCAGAAGAAGCACCGGCUAACUCCGUGCCAGCAGCCGCGGUAAUUC